rnacentral:tRNA from 1 species
GGGAAGGUGGCGGAGCGGUUGAACGUGCUCGUCUCGAACACGAGUAGGGUGAGAGCCCUCGAGAGUUCGAAUCUCUCCCUUCCCGCCA